GAUGAACGCUGGCGGCGUGCUUAACACAUGCAAGUCGAACGGAAAGGCCCAAGCUUGCUUGGGUACUCGAGUGGCGAACGGGUGAGUAACACGUGGGUGAUCUGCCCUGCACUUCGGGAUAAGCCUGGGAAACUGGGUCUAAUACCGGAUAGGACCACAUUUUGGAUGGUGUGGUGGAAAGUUUUUCGGUGUGGGAUGAGCUCGCGGCCUAUCAGCUUGUUGGUGGGGUAAUGGCCUACCAAGGCGUCGACGGGUAGCCGGCCUGAGAGGGUGUACGGCCACAUUGGGACUGAGAUACGGCCCAGACUCCUACGGGAGGCAGCAGUGGGGAAUAUUGCACAAUGGGCGCAAGCCUGAUGCAGCGACGCCGCGUGGGGGAUGACGGCCUUCGGGUUGUAAAAUCCUUUCGCUAGGGACGAAGCGUUAUGUGACGGUACCUGGAGAAGAAGCACCGGCUAACUACGUG
rnacentral:rRNA from 1 species